GGCACUUUGGCGGAGUGGUUAACGCGCUGGCCUGCUAUACUUCAGCAUUCCCUUUCGGGAUAGAGCUUAGUAAGCCAGUUCCUUCGGGAGCGUGAGUUCGAAUCUCACAGGUGUCG